AUUGAACGCUGGCGGCAGGCCUAACACAUGCAAGUCGAGCGGAUGAAGGGAGCUUGCUCCAGGAUUCAGCGGCGGACGGGUGAGUAAUGCCUAGGAAUCUGCCUGGUAGUGGGGGACAACGUUUCGAAAGGAACGCUAAUACCGCAUACGUCCUACGGGAGAAAGCAGGGGACCUGCGGGCCUUGCGCUAUCAGAUGAGCCUAGGUCGGAUUAGCUAGUUGGUGAGGUAAUGGCUCACCAAGGCGACGAUCCGUAACGGGUCUGAGAGGAUGAUCGGUCACACUGGAACUGAGACACGGUCCAGACUCCUACGGGAGGCAGCAGUGGGGAAUAUUGGACAAUGGGCGAAAGCCUGAUCCAGCCAUGCCGCGUGUGUGAAGAAGGUCUUCGGAUUGUAAAGCACUUUAAGUUGGGAGGAAGGGUUGUAGAUUAAUACUCUGCAAUUUUGACGUUACCGACAGAAUAAGCACCGGCUAACUCUGUGCCAGCCGCCGCCGUAAAAC
rnacentral:rRNA from 1 species